UACAAUUUUGUCUUUCAGCACUUUCAGAAUACACGAAGAUAAACAUUUCUCGGAAAACGACAAGGUCACGAGGUUACCAUAUUUGAUAUAAGAGUUUGGCCUUUUAAGCACUUUCAGAAUACACGAAGAUAAACAUUUCUCGGAAAACGACAAGGUCACGAGGUCACCAAAUUGUAUUUAUAAGCACAGAAACUCAGCUUUCGCGAGUGAAUUUCUGCUGCUUUAAAAACAGCACAGACGCCACGCUUCACUAUACAGACAAACUCAAGACAACUUCUUCAUCUAUCUAAA